CACGAAGUUAGCCGGUGCUUAUUCUGUUGGUAACGUCAAAACAGUAAGGUAUUAACUUACUGCCCUUCCUCCCAACUUAAAGUGCUUUACAAUCCGAAGACCUUCUUCACACACGCGGCAUGGCUGGAUCAGGCUUUCGCCCAUUGUCCAAUAUUCCCCACUGCUGCCUCCCGUAGGAGUCUGGACCGUGUCUCAGUUCCAGUGUGACUGAUCAUCCUCUCAGACCAGUUACGGAUCGUCGCCUUGGUAGGCCUUUACCCCACCAACUAGCUAAUCCGACCUAGGCUCAUCUGAUAGCGUGAGGUCCGAAGAUCCCCCACUUUCUCCCUCAGGACGUAUGCGGUAUUAGCGCCCGUUUCCGGACGUUAUCCCCCACUACCAGGCAGAUUCCUAGGCAUUACUCACCCGUCCGCCGCUGAAUCCAGGAGCAAGCUCCCUUCAUCCGCUCGACUUGCAUGUGUUAGGCCUGCCGCCAGCGUUCAAUCUGAGCCAGGAUCAAACCCUG
rnacentral:rRNA from 1 species